rnacentral:lncRNA from 1 species
AUUUUAUAUUGGUAUACAUAAGAGAUAUCCAGUUAUUACAGUUGCAACUAUUCAGUUACCAGGAAUAGUUCAUUUUGGAUUUCUGAAAAGUAAUUUUAUAUUGGGUGUGGUUAUAAAAGGUAAAUGCUAGGCCAAUGGAUAUUCCAUACGUCUUGUUGUAGGCUUCCAGGGAAUAUGGCUGGUAAUUUGAGAUCACUCAAGGGCAUUUUGGUGUGUAGUUUUAAAGGAUGUUGGUACAUUAAUGGUUCCUCUACAGUUCAUUACUGGUUUUAGUAUCACACUGAAUGGGAUUAAGUUUGUUAAAUUUAUGAACUCACUAGAUAGAAAGAAGUCUAAAGAAAGGGGCCUAAGAAAAAAGUAUACUUACAGCAGUAAAUAUCCUGUGAGAGAAGUUAAGUUUCAAUAAGAUUUUUUUUUUCUUCAGAAAGGUAGAUAUUAGGAGUUUGCAUGGAUUUAAGCAUAUGUUUAAACAUCAAAAUUCUUCUGGUAGAGCUGGGUGCGGUGGCACAUACCUGUAAUUCAAGCAGCUUUGGGGACUGAAGUAGGAUGAUUGCGAGUUCAAAGCCAGCCUCAGCAAAAGCGAGGCACUAAAUAACUUAGUGAGACCCUGUCUCUAAAUAAAAUACAGACAAAGGCUGAAGAUGUGGCUCAGUGUUUGAGUGCCUCUGAGUUCAAUCUCUGGUACAAAAAAAAAAAAAAAAAAAACCCAAACAAUUCUUCUGAUAGAAUGAACUUGUAUCCCAUGUAAGAAUAUAUUAUUGUAGAAGAAUAUACUUUUGUAGAAGAAUAUAUUAUUGUAGAAGAAGAAUAUAUUAUUGUAGAAGGGAUGUGUGAA